CAAAAAACGAACUCCCCCUUCUCUCCCUUUCGCCUCGACUAUCUAAAUCUAGCUCGUCCCCAAUCCCCUCCUCUUCUCUCCCGCAUCCACGCCCCGCUUGCUCCAAAUCGACGGCGAAAUCAUCUCGUCGGCGGCAAGUUGUCCUGGGGAAAAUACCGUAGGGGUUCUCCCGUCGGUAGGUGUAGUGGUGGAGGGACUUCGAUGGUGCCGCGAACAGAUCGACGCUCCCGAGGCGGAGGGUCCAAGACGGGGUGAGAAGGGUCCUUCGCCGGCGCGGCCCCGCGAGAAUCGAUGCGUCUGUGGCGGCUGACGUUGUUGCACGAGUUCGUGAACGAGAAUCUGCGCCGCGGCUUCUCGAAUCGAUGCGGCCGCGGCUGGUGGAGUUCAUGCUAGGAGCUUGGGCGGCGUUGUUCUGAUUCAAGGGCACAAGUUUCCAAGAUAUGGAGAUGUCACGAACUCCCGAUUUCACAGCUAUUCCUACAGUCCUGGUAGACAAUUUGUAAAUCCUGUUUCACAUUUCAGGUUCUUUUUUUCACAUGCAGAUUGCCAUGACAAGCUGGAAAGAGUACUGGUGGUAUGUCAUUUUGCUUGGGUGUUCUGAUGCUCAGUUUUCUAGGAGCUCUUUACACAUUUGCCAGCCUCUAGUUCUAAGUACUGUUUGGACCUACUGACUUUUUUGUUACUGCAAAAAAAUUGUAAAAUGUAUAUCCUCAGAUUCAAAGUUGCAUGUUUUUCUGAUGUUCAUGUUAUUGGAUUUCUUCAGUUUUUACAUGCAUGACAGAUGAUUGUCAGCAAUGGGGUAGCAGAUGGCGAUGCAUCACCAUGAUCUGGUGUUGCAAAACUACUUCACCCCUUUACUAUUCUACAUGUAAAAACCAGAUCUGGACUUGCAAAGAAAGAUUGAUUGCCUGUAA